GACGUAGGAGGCGAGCGUUGUCCGGAUUCAUUGGGCGUAAAGAGCUCGUAGGCGGUUUGGCAAGUCGGACGUGAAAAUCCGGGGCUCAACCCCGGACCUGCAUCCGAAACUGCCCGACUAGAGGUAGGUAGGGGAGAUCGGAAUUCCUGGUGUAGCGGUGAAAUGCGCAGAUAUCAGGAGGAACACCGGUGGCGAAGGCGGAUCUCUGGGCCUUACCUGACGCUCAGGUGCGAAAGCUAGGGGAGCGAACAGG
rnacentral:rRNA from 1 species